AUAUUCCCGCGGGUUUCGUGGAUUUCGCGUGUAAGCAAUAUGAGCGAAUCUUCCAGAGAUUUAAAAGCAAAGACGGUGAAGUUUUUCGCUUUUAAAACAGAGAAGAAAUCACGUUUGCAAGUAGAGAUCAUCUCUUAACAAAGAUUAAGCAUAGAUGGGUGCAGCGAGGUCAGCACUGAGACGACGUCUGUGUGGCCCGGUGCAGAUGCAAAGACAGAUUGAUAAAGUUUUGGAUGGUCAACCUUUACUGGCACCAAAACAUGAAACAACAAAAGACCUGCUUGAUAGCUAGUGCAAAACAAGAAAACCAAGCCAUAUUUUAUUUACAUACCAAGAGAAGUGAAGAAUAUCUACAGCUCUUGAAACAAAUCCGAGUGGACUCUGUUGACGUUCCUGACAAGAACAACCCUCAGCCUGAAGAUGAAUCCUUGUUGCUGACAACACCUACAACAAGGCUUAGCACUGAGGAGUUGACAUUGUUGUUUCAACAGCAAAUGAAAACCCCCGAUA